rnacentral:rRNA from 1 species
CACACCUGAAAUGAGCAAGAUUACCCGCUGAACUUAAGCAUAUCAGUAAGCGGAGGAAAAGAAACUAACUAGGAUAGCCCCAGUAAUGGCGAAUGAACAGGCUAAAGCUCAAAGUGGAAAUCUGAAGCGGUCAACGCGGAAGAAUUGUAAUCUAUAGAGUGGAUCCAAAGCUAAGUACCUCGCAUAAGUUCCUUGGAACAGGACGUCAAAGAGGGUGACAACCCCGUAGUCGGCGAGGAAACUGGUGAAGGAGAGACUUCAAAGAGUCGGGUUGUUUGGGACUGCAGCCCUAAGUGGGAGAUAAACUUCUUCUAAAGCUAAAUAAGCACGGGAGACCGAUAGCGAACAAGUACUGCGAAGGAAAG